rnacentral:siRNA from 1 species
AGAAGAAGUGUAUCGUGUUGCCA